UACGUAGGCGGCAAGCGUUGUCCGGAAUCAUUGGGCGUAAAGGGAGCGCAGGUGGGACGGUAAGUCUUUCUUAAAAGUGCGGGGCUCACCCCCGUGAGGGGAAAGAAACUAUCGUUCUUGAGUGCAGGAGAGGAAAGCGGAAUUCCUAGUGUAGCGGUGAAAUGCGUAGAUAUUAGGAAGAACACCAGUGGCGAAGGCGGCUUUCUGGACUGUAACUGACACUGAGGCUCGAAAGCCAGGGGAGCGAACG
rnacentral:rRNA from 1 species